UUAAGCGACUAAGCGUACACGGUGGAUGCCCUGGCAGUCAGAGGCGAUGAAGGACGUGCUAAUCUGCGAAAAGCGUCGGUAAGGUGAUAUGAACCGUUAUAACCGGCGAUGUCCGAAUGGGGAAACCCAGUGCAAUUCGUUGCACUAUCGUUAACUGAAUACAUAGGUUAACGAGGCGAACCGGGGGAACUGAAACAUCUAAGUACCCCGAGGAAAAGAAAUCAACCGAGAUUCCCCCAGUAGCGGCGAGCGAACGGGGAGCAGCCCAGAGUCUGAAUCAGCUUGUGUGUUAGUGGAACGGUCUGGAAAGUCCGACGGUACAGGGUGAUAGUCCCGUACACCAAAAUGCACAGGCUGUGAACUCGAAGAGUAGGGCGGGACACGUGGUAUCCUGUCUGAAUAUGGGGGGACCAUCCUCCAAGGCUAAAUACUCCUGACUGACCGAUAGUGAACCAGUACCGUGAGGGAAAGGCGAAAAGAACCCCGGCGAGGGGAGUGAAAAAGAACCUGAAACCGUGUACGUACAAGCAGUGGGAGCACCUUCGGGUGUGACUGCGUACCUUUUGUAUAAUGGGUCAGCGACUUAUAUUCUGUAGCAAGGUUAACCGUAUAGGGGAGCCGCAGGGAAACCGAGUCUUAACUGGGCGUUAAGUUGCAGGGUAUAGACCCGAAACCCGGUGAUCUAGCCAUGGGCAGGUUGAAGGUUGGGUAACACUAACUGGAGGACCGAACCGACUAAUGUUGAAAAAUUAGCGGAUGACUUGUGGCUGGGGGUGAAAGGCCAAUCAAACCGGGAGAUAGCUGGUUCUCCCCGAAAGCUAUUUAGGUAGCGCCUCGUGAACUCAUCUUCGGGGGUAGAGCACUGUUUCGGCUAGGGGGUCAUCCCGACUUACCAACCCGAUGCAAACUACGAAUACCGAAGAAUGUUAUCACGGGAGACACACGGCGGGUGCUAACGUCCGUCGUGAAGAGGGAAACAACCCAGACCGCCAGCUAAGGUCCCAAAGUCAUGGUUAAGUGGGAAACGAUGUGGGAAGGCACAGACAGCCAGGAUGUUGGCUUAGAAGCAGCCAUCAUUUAAAGAAAGCGUAAUAGCUCACUGGUCGAGUCGGCCUGCGCGGAAGAUGUAACGGGGCUAAACCAUGCACCGAAGCUGCGGCAGCGACACUAUGUGUUGUUGGGUAGGGGAGCGUUCUGUAAGCCUGCGAAGGUGUGCUGUGAGGCAUGCUGGAGGUAUCAGAAGUGCGAAUGCUGACAUAAGUAACGAUAAAGCGGGUGAAAAGCCCGCUCGCCGGAAGACCAAGGGUUCCUGUCCAACGUUAAUCGGGGCAGGGUGAGUCGACCCCUAAGGCGAGGCCGAAAGGCGUAGUCGAUGGGAAACAGGUUAAUAUUCCUGUACUUGGUGUUACUGCGAAGGGGGGACGGAGAAGGCUAUGUUAGCCGGGCGACGGUUGUCCCGGUUUAAGCAUGUAGGCUGGUUGUCCAGGCAAAUCCGGAUAAUCAAGGCUGAGGUGUGAUGACGAGGUACUACGGUGCUGAAGUAACAAAUGCCCUGCUUCCAGGAAAAGCCUCUAAGCAUCAGGUAACAUCAAAUCGUACCCCAAACCGACACAGGUGGUCAGGUAGAGAAUACCAAGGCGCUUGAGAGAACUCGGGUGAAGGAACUAGGCAAAAUGGUGCCGUAACUUCGGGAGAAGGCACGCUGGUGUGUAGGUGAAGUCCCUGCGGAUGGAGCUGAGACCAGUCGAAGAUACCAGCUGGCUGCAACUGUUUAUUAAAAACACAGCACUGUGCAAACACGAAAGUGGACGUAUACGGUGUGACGCCUGCCCGGUGCCGGAAGGUUAAUUGAUGGGGUUAUCCGUAAGGAGAAGCUCUUGAUCGAAGCCCCGGUAAACGGCGGCCGUAACUAUAACGGUCCUAAGGUAGCGAAAUUCCUUGUCGGGUAAGUUCCGACCUGCACGAAUGGCGUAAUGAUGGCCAGGCUGUCUCCACCCGAGACUCAGUGAAAUUGAACUCGCUGUGAAGAUGCAGUGUACCCGCGGCAAGACGGAAAGACCCCGUGAACCUUUACUAUAGCUUGACACUGAACAUUGAGCCUUGAUGUGUAGGAUAGGUGGGAGGCUUUGAAGCGUGGACGCCAGUCUGCGUGGAGCCAACCUUGAAAUACCACCCUUUAAUGUUUGAUGUUCUAACGUUGGCCCCUUACCGGGGUUGCGGACAGUGUCUGGUGGGUAGUUUGACUGGGGCGGUCUCCUCCCAAAGCGUAACGGAGGAGCACGAAGGUUAGCUAAUCCUGGUCGGACAUCAGGAGGUUAGUGCAAUGGCAUAAGCUAGCUUGACUGCGAGCGUGACGGCGCGAGCAGGUGCGAAAGCAGGUCAUAGUGAUCCGGUGGUUCUGAAUGGAAGGGCCAUCGCUCAACGGAUAAAAGGUACUCCGGGGAUAACAGGCUGAUACCGCCCAAGAGUUCAUAUCGACGGCGGUGUUUGGCACCUCGAUGUCGGCUCAUCACAUCCUGGGGCUGAAGUAGGUCCCAAGGGUAUGGCUGUUCGCCAUUUAAAGUGGUACGCGAGCUGGGUUUAGAACGUCGUGAGACAGUUCGGUCCCUAUCUGCCGUGGGCGCUGGAGAAUUGAGGGGGGCUGCUCCUAGUACGAGAGGACCGGAGUGGACGCAUCACUGGUGUUCGGGUUGUCAUGCCAAUGGCACUGCCCGGUAGCUAAAUGCGGAAGAGAUAAGUGCUGAAAGCAUCUAAGCACGAAACUUGCCCCGAGAUGAGUUCUCCCUGAGACUUUAAGUCUCCUGAAGGAACGUUGAAGACGACGACGUUGAUAGGCCGGGUGUGUAAGCGCAGCGAUGCGUUGAGCUAACCGGUACUAAUGAACCGUGAGGCUUAACCUU
rnacentral:rRNA from 1 species